CCUACGGGAGGCAGCAGUGAGGAAUAUUGGUCAAUGGGCGCGAGCCUGAACCAGCCAAGUAGCGUGAAGGAUGACUGCCCUACGGGUUGUAAACUUCUUUUAUAAAGGAAUAAAGUGAGGCACGUGUGCCUGUUUGUAUGUACUUUAUGAAUAAGCAUCGGCUAACUCCGUGCCAGCAGCCGCGGUAAUACGGAGGAUCCGAGCGUUAUCCGGAUUUAUUGGGUUUAAAGGGUGCGUAGGCGGGUUGUUAAGUCAGUUGGGAAAGUUUGCGGCUCAACCGUCAAAUUGCAGUUGAUACUGGCAGCCUUGAGUACGGGUGAGGUAGGCGGAAUUCGUGGUGUAGCGGUGAAAUGCAUAGAUAUCACGAAGAACUCCGAUUGCGAAGGCAGCCUACU
rnacentral:rRNA from 1 species